rnacentral:rRNA from 1 species
AUGAACGCUGGCGGCGUGCCUAAUACAUGCAAGUCGAGCGAACAGACGAGGAGCUUGCUCCUCUGACGUUAGCGGCGGACGGGUGAGUAACACGUGGAUAACCUACCUAUAAGACUGGGAUAACUUCGGGAAACCGGAGCUAAUACCGGAUAAUAUAUUGAACCGCAUGGUUCAAUAGUGAAAGACGGUUUUGCUGUCACUUAUAGAUGGAUCCGCGCCGCAUUAGCUAGUUGGUAAGGUAACGGCUUACCAAGGCAACGAUGCGUAGCCGACCUGAGAGGGUGAUCGGCCACACUGGAACUGAGACACGGUCCAGACUGCUACGGGAGGCAGCAGUAGGGAAUCUUCCGCAAUGGGCGAAAGCUUGACGGAGCAACGCCGCGUGAGUGAUGAAGGUCUUCGGAUCGUAAAACUCUGUUAUUAGGGAAGAACAAAUGUGUAAGUAACUAUGCACGUCUUGACGGUACCUAAUCAGAAAGCCACGGCUAACUACGUG